rnacentral:misc_RNA from 1 species
UUGGGGACGCCGGUCAUGGAAACAGGGGGCAGGGCGAGCUCCAUGGCAGGCGGCCGAGCAGAGGAACUCCGACGCGCGCAGGGAGGAGCCAUGGCGAGUGGCUGGGCUGGGCGCGCAGAGCUCCGGGCUGGAGGGCGCGCGGCCACCAGAGGAACGCGGCAAGGGAGAAGGCGGGCGCAGGAGCUCGCGCGCAGUGAAAUCAGGGGGCGCGCAGAGCAACAGAGCGAGCAGGGGCAGAGAAGAAAGAGAGCACGACAGGGAGAAGGUAAAGCCAACCGCCCGGAGGAGAACGUCGGCGAGAUCUUUCUGAAGCUGAGCGGCGGCAAACGGCAAGCUGUGCUCACAGCAAGCGUCCACGCGCCACCAAGGAGAG